UACGUAGGGUGCGAGCGUUGUCCGGAAUUAUUGGGCGUAAAGAGCUUGUAGGCGGUCUGUCGCGUCUGCUGUGAAAAUCCGGGGCUCAACCCCGGACUUGCAGUGGGUACGGGCAGACUAGAGUGUGGUAGGGGAGACUGGAAUUCCUGGUGUAGCGGUGGAAUGCGCAGAUAUCAGGAGGAACACCAAUAGCGAAGGCAGCUCGCUGGGACGUUACUGACACUGAGGCGCGAAAGCGUGGGGAGCGAACAGG
rnacentral:rRNA from 1 species